GGCUCCAUAGUAUAGUGGUUAGCACAUCUGCUUUACACACAGAAGGUCCUGGGUUCGCGCCCCAGGUGGAGCCA
rnacentral:tRNA from 1 species